GUUGUUUCAUUAUUUUUGGCCGCCGCUCUGUCUCUCUCCCAAAUUCAAGUUUAGUACUCUCUCUCUCCCAAAUUCAGGUCCUCUCUCUACCAGUUUCAAGCUCUCUCUCUUGGCCGCCUGCUCGCCCAAGGUUCAAAGUUAGAAUAUGAUCUCCAAAGACUCAAUCCAUCAAAGAAUGAAGCAAGAUUUCUUUAAAUACCUACCAUCAUAGAUCCUCACCGAUAUCUUGUUGAGACUCCCUCUCGAAUACAUUGCAACUUGCAAAUGCGUUUGCAAACCGUGGCUCAAUCUCAUUGAUAGUAACUAUUUUUUCAAGUCCCAUUUUUCUAAAUCCCCUCCUACCCUAGUAGUCUCGAUACCUGAUACUAAUUCAAAUUGGUUCAAUGUUUUCGAAUUGGAAGAGAAGCCCAAGCGCAAGCCGAAUCCAAUCACAAAGUUUGAUUUCCCCCAAGCGACAACAAUACAAGGUUCUUCCAAUGGUUUGCUUCUUCUGAAAAAUCCUUUUCGUGAUCAUCUUUAUGUAUGUAAUCCUAUCACCCGUGAAUUUGUUGAGCUUCGUGGCCGUCUUACUCGCCCUCGAGAAGAUUGUUAUGGAAUUGGAGUGAGCAAAAUUAGCGGACAACAUAAGGUUGUAUACCUUAACCCUAACUACGACGGAUGUCAUGUAUACACUCUUGAAUCGGGAUCUUCGUGGAGACGCGUUAAAGGUGUUAUCCCCUCGUUUGAUUGUUGUUACAGCUCCGUUGCUGCAUUUGUUAGUGGUAAUCUCCACUGGUUUGUUUCAAAUGGAAGCGAGACUCCUUAUAUUUGCUGCUUUGAUCUUGAGAAAGAAUGUUUUAGCACAUUCUCUCCCCCACUUGAAUGUCUCUAGAGAACUAUCUUUCUCCAUGGAAUGUUGUAUACUUUGGGGGAUUGUCUGUGUUUUUGUGAUGAUGAACCAAAAUAUGAAUGUGACAAUGAUCAUGUGAUCUGGUUAUUGAAGGAAUAUGAAGAAGUCGAGAAAUGUUGGUGCAAGGUACAUGUCUACAUUAGGAAACCACCUCUUUUACGGGUCCUCAUCAAACAUCCUUAUUAUGGUCAUGGUUUACACAAACGUCUUCAGCCUAUCAAUGUUUACGAGAAUGGAGACAUGUUGACGUUAUGGAAUGAGGAGCACUUUCUAUACUACUCUAACAAGAAGAAAAGUCUUACAAAAAUUGGUUUGUUUGGUAAGAUGGAUGAUGAUUCUUUGUGUAUUAAUUCCAUUCUUCUCACUCCAAGUUUUCUCUCACUCAAAAGACACUGUCGUAUGAAGAAUGUAAUUUCAUUUUAGUUUGUCACAAGACUUGUAAUUGACUUGUGCUGACCUUUUUAUUUAUUGAACUAUUAUUAAUGGAUUGUUUAGCUAAA